CCCGCGUCUAAGGCAGGGUCUGCUAGAAAAGCCUUACUGACGAGUCCACUAGCAGGCCCAGGACGAAACGCUCC
rnacentral:hammerhead_ribozyme from 13 species